AUGGGUUGGAGAUAUCCCCUUCGCGGCUGGAUUUUCGGACUUGUUCUCCAUUGGGUGGAGCCAAGGAUCUCGGUUGAGGCGGCCCUUAUUGACUUAGGGCACCUCGCGUUCCAGCGCCUAAUUGGGCCUCUGGAGCUUGCCGCUUGGCAUGAACUCCUCGAGUGCAUUGCCCUACACGGACCGGAUAUGGACCAGGAGACGGAUCGCAUCUCCUGGCGACUGGAGCCCUCUGGACGUUUCUCCUCCAAGUCUCUAUACUAGGCAAUUGCGGCCACCCCUGGGUCGGAGGCCCUCGCUGCGGUUUGGGCGAUUCGACUACCUCUGAAGAUUAGGAUUUUCUUGUGGCAAUGGAUCCGUGGCCGGGUACCUUCAGGGGUGGAGAUGCUCAAGCGGAACGGUCCUGGGGAUGGGAUGUGCCCUCUUUGCGCGACGGCUGAGGACACGAACCACAUCUUCUUCACAUGCAUUUCCGCCCAGUUCCUUCGGAGCUGCUUCUGGGAGGUGGUCGGUGGUAAUUGGUGCACCUCCAAUUUCCCCGACCUAUUCGCGGAGAUCCUUGCCUCCCUGGCUUCGCUACGCCCCAUUAGGUGGCUGGCUAUCGGGGUUCCCGCCUGGACGCUAUGGACAGUCCGCAAUAAACUUGUCAUCCACCAGGAUCCACCAGGUCCCUCUUCAAUGUGCUACUGA
rnacentral:rRNA from 1 species